CGCCAACCACAUCAGCACCAGGAACGUCACCUCCCAAACCAACUAAAAAGCCGUCGGAAUGCGACAAGGUGGAUUUAAGUAAAACGCGAUAUGGGUUUUUGACUCCUCUGUUCGCUCAUCGGGACUAUAAGAAAAAAUCAUCCUGGCGACACGGACGUACAAGAAACCUGACCAGACCUUAAUUAUGAUUCAUAAAUCAGGU